GUCAAGUGGGCUGCCAUCUAUGGGGUCGCACAGAGUCCGACACGACUGAAGCGACUUAGCAGCAGCAGCACAGAGUUCACUGUGCUCCACAGUGAGGAGACUACAGCAUAAAAGAUCCCAGUAAAGAACAGAGGUAGGAUUUGGCCCCCGUCUAUAUGACUUUAUCAAAUAGCAUUUAAGAACAAAUGAGUAUGUUAAGAUCCAAAUACAAAAUCUAACUCAUGAAAUUCAAUAGAAUUUACUUAAAUAUUAAGCAAACAGGUGUUUUAUAUUUUAAAAUACUUUACUUGCAUUAAAAACACAGUAUAUUGUAUUUUUACAUUAGUAUAUUAUAGUUUUGCUUAUCCAUUUUACUGUCAAAGGUUUAUAGGGACCUUUCUCUGGACAUGAUGGAUAGUUUAAAAUGGAGCAGCAUCACACAACCUUAUAAGUCAAUUAUACUUCAAUUUAAAAAAAGUUGGAGUAGCGUCUGUGUUUUAUAACAUUUGCUUAUUCAUUCAUUUAAUCAAUUGCAUGUAAGCUAUGUAUGAGACAAUAAAUUGUAUGUAAUUUAUAAUCAGUUUUUAUUCUAUCUUUCAAGUAAACCAUACAUCAUCAUUUUGUGUGGAAAGCUCGGCAGAGUAGACUCUGAAAAAAGGACAUGGACAGCCUUUCUGGGAGACUGACAAAACUUUACUUCUAUAGCGAAUCAUUUUAUACAUGAAAUCAAGGAAAUAGCUUACAAAAACCAAGGUUACACAGAUGGAGCUUGUACAAAAACCAAGGUUACACAGAUGGAGCUUGAGCAUGUACAAAGUUGAUAACAGCAAGUUUACAAAGUUUCAUGAGACACAUAGACUCUAUUUUCUCAGGAUCAGAAGACAGUCUGUUUUCCUCAAGGCAAGCUUGUUAUCCUCAGCACUAUUCUCAUGCAGUCGUAAAAGCCAUAUAUGCAGGAAAUGUUUCCUAGGGCAAAACCUCUAGACAUGCCUGGCGGUCCUGGCCCUUUGCCAGUUCCUUGUGAGGACCUUCUCCUCAAGGCAGUCGCGUAGUUUCCCUCAACAAUUUUGAAGCUGCAAAAAUUUUAAAUACCUGUCUUUAUUCAGCUUUGAGGUGAAUUCAGCUUUGAGAUGCUGGUAUUUAUUCAUACUGUAAAUAAUACUACUGGUAUUUUAUUAUGUGCAAGAUAUUUAGGGGGAAUACAAAGGUAAGAUGAAACGUGUACAAUACAGUAUCUAAAAUAAGGCACAAACAUAAAUAACCAUGAGAAAAGGCACAUGUGUUCUAGCAUGGUUCAGGGUACCAUGUGUAUUAAAAGAGGCAGAUUUUUAUGCAUGUUUUUGAGGCACCUUGCAGUACAAGCUGCAGAUACAAAUUUGCACAGGAGUGAUGAGGGGAAGCAAAAGAAAGAGGGUAGUAUUUGAUUUGAGGGUCAAAAGGUGGGCAGUAGUUCCUCUAGGGAGAUGUGACAGCGGUGACAUUCUAAGCAAAGUGUAAAGGCAGCGUUGACUGGGAGAGGCCGAGGUAGAUGGAAUGAAGGGUCAGUGGGAUGGGUUGGGGCAGGGUAGAACUGGAAGCAAUCAGGUGCAUCCAGGCUGAUUGUAGGGGACACUGACCAGCAGGGAAAGGAGAUGUGCUUCAGUUAGUAGGCAAGAGGGAGCCAUGGAUAGCUUUUGAGCAGAAGAGAGACAGUAUUAAAUUUGCACCAGGAAGACUAAUGUAGACAGAGGAUGUGCAAAAUGGAUUAUUUUAAUCAGAUUAAAAGAAGAGAGCUGGAAAAGAUAUUCAAAGAAGGGACAGAAAGAAGAGGAUGAGAGAGACAUAUUCCAGAGUAAAAAAUGGACAGAUCUAAAAGCUGUUUGGAUGAACUGAGAAUGAGGGGGAGAGAGAGAUAAAAAUUACCUACAUGUGGAAUAGAAUACAUUCUCACAGACAGUGCCUCAAGGACUUACAAAAAGCAUAUAGUUUGUAAAUGAUCUUUAGUAAGAAUCAGUAAUUAUUUUGCAGUUAGGACACAGAAAAAGAAACUUAAGAGACAAACAAGUCUCUUAAAACACCAGUAGUUGGGAGAGGAAUACAAUGCUAGUGUUAGUUUCACAACUUUAUCUCAGACAGUAUGGAAAAGGAAGGAAAUUUAUAUUUUGUUGAAUUUUAAAAUGAGGUAUAUGUAAACUAUAUCUCCAUAAAGUGAAGUAUGUAUAAAUUAUGCCUCAGACAAGUUUAUUUUGAAAAUGUAAGCGAAGAAAAUAAAUCAUAAAAGCACUA